GGAUGUCUGUCAGGACCGCCUCAGAUCACAACCCCAGCAGCCACGACUGCUCCUCCUGCAGAGGCAGACUGUUCUGCAUAUAAAGCCGCCGGGCACAUCACCAGUGGAGUCUACAUACUUGGCUCACCCCUGUCCGGUGUAGAGGUCUACUGUGACAUGGAUACUGCAGAAGGAGGCUGGACUGUGAUACAGCGACGAAUGGACGGGUCGGUUCCCUUUAACAAGAACUGGGAGGAGUACAAGCAUGGGUUUGGGAACAAGAACGGGGAAUACUGGCUUGGGAACGAGAACAUCCACCGCCUGACUUCCCAUAAGACCUACCGAAUGCGGGUUGACAUGAUGUAUUGGGAUAUGCGGACGUACUAC